GCUUGCGUGGCUCAAAGGUAGAGCACGUCACUCGUAAUGACGGGGUUGUGAGUUCGAUUCUCACCGCAAGCUCCA
rnacentral:tRNA from 1 species